rnacentral:lncRNA from 1 species
CCCAAGACCCAGACGAUCUGGCUUUCUCUUCACAGAGUGGUCUACACAGCAGCACCUGAACCUCACUGCUGACUCGGCCGUCCUCCGAGCCGCCUCUGAUGCGCGGUACAUCCCUGACCAGCCUCUUCCUGCCUCAGAUAUUGAUCAUUUUAGAUAUCCUAAUAAAUCUUCAGUAAAUUAUCUUCAUUCUCUUGGAAGCAAUGGACUUAAGUUCUUAAAAGCCCAGUACAGACAAUUUCUUCCCUCACUAAAAUACAUCCUUUGCAGGUUGGUACACUGCGGAGAGAUUGCUACAGCAGAAGCCAAUAGACUCAAUUUGGUUUGA